UGUAUACUAACAGUUCCACCAAGUCAGCCUUGUUCUUCUACAAGGUCAACCUAUCUUCGUCCCUUAUACCAAUGGGCUAAAGAAGGAUUAGCUGUAAGAUCUGUGGUUCACGUGGAUCAAUGGAUGACUACUGAUUCAGGGUGUUACGUGACCAGGGCAGGCCAUUCUCUGUGUCCCUUUGGCAGAUCUGAGAGGAAAGUUUACAUGCUAAAAUUUUUUCUUUCUCCUUUAUGCUGGUGUGGCAAAUAGUAGGACUUGAGAUUUGCAGAACCCAAAAUGCUGCAUGCUGGCAUACAGGCAAAAUUGAAGCGGUUAAGACUGAUACCAGCUUUUUAUCUGUUGACUUACUUUAUCUAAAACUUGUAAUAUUAAUAGAAGACUCAAAAUGAGGCUUCAACUGCAUUGGUAUGAACCUUCAGAACUACUGGUGAGGAGAGAAAAACAGCUGUAUAUCAGGAUUCAGUUAUAUUUCCUAUGAAACCAUGCAAGCGCUGCUAUCUCAAUUAGAAAUGUUCGUACUGAACGUUGCCAUAUUCUGCCCCUCUUAGAUAAGUACCUUACUACAUGUUUUUGUUUAUAUCUGAGCAGUGUCAGCACUGUGCAGCUACCUAAUACUGUGACAAAACCUGCUCCUUCACUCACAUGUGUAUUUCCAUCCUAAAUCAAAAAUUUGCCCAGAUACGAAUGCUAAAUAGCUUGAGUUAACAAUUCCCGCUCUUGCCACUGGAAUAUGAUGCCUCAACACCUUUCAUGGUUUCAGGCUGCAGUCCUGUGGCCAGCACCACCACGGCAGAGCCUGGAGAUGCUGCAGUCAGGCAGCGGGAGGGAAACGAGGCAAAUGUGCACCUACACUUUGGGUACCGUAAGAGCUGGUGUUUUGGAACCGAAGAGUGCUGAGAUGUUUGAGCUCUCUCUGUGAUCUGCUCAGCCAAGGAUGUUGCUGUAUGUCAGGUUGCAAGUCCUUUGUCUCAGGUUGCAUGGGGAACAUGGUUUAACUCAAUGGGGAGAAGAGGAAAAGAAAGGAAUAGCCCAGGUAGAAACACCCUGGUCUGUUUGGCUGGACCAGGAACCUGGAGAUUGAAAACGUUAGACAUGUUUCAAACAGAUUUCCCUUAAAACAGGGAAAGAACUGGUUUAUGGCUUAUGAUAAUGGGCUCUUUUGCCCAGAUUCUAAUGUUUAGC